ACGGGAGGCAGCAGUGGGGGAUAUUGCGCAAUGGGGGAAACCCUGACGCAGCAACGCCGCGUGAAGGAAGAAGGUCUUCGGAUUGUAAACUUUUGUCUUGUGGGACGAUAAUGACGGUACCACAGGAGGAAGCCACGGCUAACUACGUGCCAGCAGCCGCGGUAAUACGUAGGUGGCAAGCGUUGUCCGGAAUUACUGGGUGUAAAGGGUGCGUAGGCGGGGAUGCAAGUCAGAUGUGAAAUCUAUCGGCUCAACUGGUAAACUGCAUUUGAAACUGCAUUUCUUGAGUGGUGGAGAGGUAAGCGGAAUUCCUAGUGUAGCGGUGAAAUGCGUAGAUAUUAGGAGGAACACCAGUGGCGAAGGCGGCUUACUGGACACUAACUGACGCUGAGGCACGAAAGCAUGGGGAGCAAACAGGAUUAGAUACCCUGGUA
rnacentral:rRNA from 1 species